AAUAUGUGUGUCUGUGACCAUUAUUACAACUGGAAUCUACAUUCAUAAGCUACUGCCAUUUUGCAAAUCAUUUUAUGUCUCAUCUGUUUUCUUUUUAGUUAUAUUUUUGCUUUUGAAUGCCAGCAUUAAAAAUGAUGGAAAUUAUAUCCUCUUUUCAACUUAAAAAUCAUUUAAUACGGAUAUAUAGAACAUACAAAAUUGGUUGCUCGUUUAUUAUUUGACGCUGACUACUAAAAAAUACAUCUAAAAGUAUUCAGGGACAUUUUUCCAUUUCUGAAAAAAUAAGUUAUACUUUAUAACUUCUUUUGUAUUUCUCUGUAUUUUCUGAUUUAUUUCAUUGUCUUUGAUAAAUAAAACAUGCAGUUUUGUUUUGCUAAUUGAGCCUAUUGUUUUUCCUCAUUCAUUCUCCCUGCAUGGAAUUUCUUAUUGUUGAUUGAGGUACCUGUGUUACCCCCUUGAGGUCAAACAGUAGCAUGGGGUAAAGAAAACAAAAUAUUUAAUUUAGUUGCCUGAUUUGGAAAUUAAAGUUAGAAUGUACUUAUAAGAAGUAUGAUCUAAUACUAGAUCUCUUCUUUAUCUCAUAUUAAGUUCCUGUACACCUGUACUUGUUUUUUUGUGGUAAUUUUUAAAUGAAAUUAAGCUUUCAUACAUGGUAAUUUUAGAUAACUAGAUCACCUAUCACAUCACUUUAUUAAAAUGUAGUAUUUUAGUUCUUGUGGUAUUUAUACUUGGUUUCUGAUUAUGGAUGUGUCACUUUUGGUCCAACAUCAAAAACUUCAUUUUCUGUUUGGAUUUUUUUUUUUUUUUCCCUUUCAAAUCUAUAAGGUUCAAGUGUGCAUGUUGCCGGAUGCUUUCUAAGUGGUACAAUUCAAUGGUAGCCUUAAAUCUCAUUAGUCAGGGGCAUCAGAAUAUUAGUUUUAAAAACUUACCAUUCUCUUCUGGAUCUGUGAAAUCCUGCACACUUCCCUUCAUUUGCUGUGAGCUGGGGUAGAGCAGCUGCUGUUGUGCUUGGGGGAUUCUGAACCACCUUUGCACUCUGUCCUGAAGUUCACAAAUCGGAAUUUGUUAGGAUGUCUAAAUAAUUUUUGAAUGAAUAUGAAUCGGGGCUUGGAAGUUAAUGUGAAUAUUUAUUAAAUUAUAUUGAUUAUAUUUGAGUAAGCUAGUUAUGGCCAGGAUAAUCCAUUUUUAUGUAUUUAUGAAAUCAACUGAAUUUAAGGUAAAAAUGCAUUUUUCUGUACAGUGUGCUCAGGAUCGAAUUAGAAAUUUGAAAUUAGAAGAUCUUAUACUCAGUUAAAAUAAAAAUCUCCGUUUAACAGAGAAAAAAAAUACCAAUGUCUAGCCUUUUGAGACCGUGAGAUACCUCCCUUGCCUUUGAGGUUGUUCAUAAAUUUUAACCUGUUAGGACAGUAAUCACUAAUUCCCAGCAAAACCUUUCGUCACAGGAAAAGUGAAAUCCAAAAAGUCCAAUUGGAGAAAAAAAAAAAAAAAUCAGGGUUUCUUAAUUUAACAUUUCGUUUUCAACUGGUCCUUUCUGUCCCCCAAAGCACAAACAUAACAGUGGUGAAUGUGAUACUGUAUUUAACUGGAGUGACAUGUCCUGAGCUUGCUCAGAAACAGUUGUGAUUAUUUGUUUUCUCAGCUUAAAUAGUGCCUCUUCUCUGAAAAGUGUCCUAAAAAGGAGAAUAAGUUAUAUGAACACAGUGUCUAUAUAGCUGUACCUUUCACUGAGAAGUGACUGCCUAAGCCCACUGCCCUUUGGGAGAAGGAGCUGGCGUAUUAGGUCAGGAGUUAAUUGUUGUCACAGCCUUUCCUAGCCAGUGCAUUUGUCUGGCCUGUAGAAUACGCACAGUAUCUUUUUUUUUUCUUUCUUUUUUCUUUUUAAAUAGAAAUUGUAUUGGAAUGACUCCAGCUUAUAGUAAAGAGUAAACAAUGAGCUUUUAUAUUUUAAGACUGCUGUUAAAUGUUAUGUUAAUUGUUUAUUAGUUAUAUAAUUCCUCCGACAUAUGAAAUGUUAGUGUAUUCUUUUAAAAAAUCUCAUUCAGGAUAAAGUUCAACUGUUAGAUGAUGAUGUGCCAAUUAUUGUAAGAAUAUCCUUGCCCAUAUAUAAAACAUGCUGACAUGUGUUUUACUUGUUAAUAAAGUUCUAUAGAUGUGGAAAUGUGAACCUGUGCAUCCUUUUGAAAAUCAGUUUAAGACUGACAACAUAUUAUUGCCACCUUGGCCUCACAAAAUGGUUAUACGGUAGACGUCAUUUAAGAUGAAAACACCUGGCAUGGAAUUAGGUUAGAGUGGGGAACAACAUUUAACUUGUCACAGUAAUUUGUUGGGAGGUGAUUGUAGUUUAAUUUUAAUAAAUGCAGAAAAACCAGCUUUAUGGAAAUAAUUUAUGUUCAUUGCUACUUUGCAAAAUAUCAGUGGUAACCAUGGGCCAGACCUGCCUGUGUUAUGGGCUUGUAUUUUCAUUUGGGACAUAAGACCUAAAGUGCAAAAAACUUCAAGUUACUUAGAAAAAAAGAAACCAAAAAGCUCAUUCCAUACUUCAUAAAAGUUUUUAAAAAUGUUUAUUUUGAACUCCACAUGUUUGCGUUAACUUUUCUUUCUUGAAGUUUUCAGCUUAGCUUUCAUUCUUUGAUUUUGGUUUUGAGAGAUUGAGCUACCAGCUUUUAAAAACCCACUUGAUUUUCAUGAAAACCGUAAAAAAAUUCAGUAGUUAGAGUAUUACUGUUUUAGCAGUUGAGGUUAUGGCAAGCGAACGUCAUACACUCCUGGUUUACAGAAACUUACAGGUGGCUUUCCUAUCUCUCACACUUGCAAAAUGAGUCACCUCAUUACUUUCCCACUCCUUGUGUGUUUGUUUUACUUAAAAUCAACAUUUUACCUUCAGUGACACAAGAAGGGGUAUAGGCUAUCCUUACAGCAUACUUUCCUCUUUUAGCUUUGUCAGAAGCAUAGCAAAGUCAAGAAACAUAAGUUUACUCAAAGCUCCAAAGAAAUUUGGAAGAGCCUCUGCCCUCAGCAUAUGAAAAGUAGCGGAUAACCUUGUUGGAAAGUAUUAACUACUCAGAGAUUCAAGAACAGUUCUUGUACAUAAAUCCCCUGUGUGGAAAUACAUUUAUCAUUCCUUUCCCAUCAAACUUACUUUAUCAGCCAUCUGAAUUCCUGCUUAGUGAUUUGGUUUGGCUAUGAAAUCUAUGUAUGGGAUUUGGGCUCUACAAUUUUAAUUUUCAUCUUAUUCAGAGAUAAGACCUAAAGACUCUUUAAUUGCUACCAAGCAUUGGUGAUGGCAUAAAUGGGAAAUAUCACUUCCUAAAUCCAGCUUUUAAAAUGGCCAGCAGAUUAUGGAAAAGAACAUCAGUUCUUUGAGAGGUAUGAACUUUUAAAAGAUAAACGAGUCUUAACAUUUCCCUAAUCGAGUGGGAUCUCCAGGGGUGAAUUCUUGAUUGAAUGAUUCUUAGGACCUCUCUUUAGAGCUGUGUAUGGUGCAUUAUAAUCACCUGGAAGUUUGGGUAAAUUAACAUUCCAGCUUCAACUUCCAGAGGGUCCAGUGCAAUAUACCUGCCCAGUGGACAGCACAUUUCCUUCCCGUAGUUUGAAGUUCCGGGAUUUGGGUCUGAUAGUACUGCUGAUUCCUUUUUCACCAUUGUGUGCUCUCUCUAGCUAGCUCCUAGUACACAGGUGAUUAGUUAACAAUGUUAGGAUCAAUGGAAGACUUCUUGCGGGGAAAGGGAAAAGGCACAUAAAACAGAUCUUAAAGAGUUAAUGAGCAUUUCUUGAGUUCUUGCUUUAUGACCUCUCUGAAUGAGAGCCCUUCUGGUUUUCGUGCCUUUAUACACACAGCGAGGUUCUGCAGGGCUGUAUCAACAGGGCAGUGUGGGAGCGUUGUGGCAGAAUAGAACUGUUUGUGCUGAGAAGGCAGUUGUUUUCUCCAUAAUCCUGUAAAGUGAGCAGAAUUGGAUUAAUUUUCAGACAGUUGAUUUUGCCUCAAAAAACGUAACUACUUUUCCACUAGCACCUUCCCUUCUCUACCCUUGAGGAGCCUAUGGAUUAUUAAGAGAAGCAGCUUUAUGUAACAAAGACUGGGUUUGGGAGCCAGGUUAACAAAACCUGAGCUCAAAUAUCAACUUCCAUGUAAGCUGAGGCAAUUUGCUUAACCAAAGCCUCAGUUUCCUCACCCGUUUGUUAAGGGGCACAACAUGUACCUGAAGAUUAGGGGAGGUUUAAGCAAAAGAACAAGGUGGGCAAUAUUACGUCUUUGCUCAGUGUUUCCUGACCAAGACUGCCUGUUAGUGUCAGCAGAUGCCUCAAGGAUUUGAAACAAGCCCGACCCUUGCCUGAUGUGGGCAUUGCACCUGCCAAAAAGGGUGAUUAUAAUAUCCUGUUGAUCUAAUGUUUGUUCCUUGUAUCUUCUUUGCAGCAAGUGCAAUCAAAGCAAAGUUUCUUAGGUGACAAUUGACUUUAAAGGACACAAUCAUGCCAAGGGGAAGGAAGUUGCCUGUUUGAUGGGCAAUAAAGCACUCUAGCUGGUGGGGAGAGAAGAAGCUCACACAGAUCUCUCCAGGCCAAAGCGUGGAGGCCCCCAAACCAGUCCCUCCAAGCUUUGCUGUUGAAUUGGAAUGAGGUUACUUUUUUUUUUUGUAGUGAUGUUAUCUAUAAGUAUCCCCUGCUUUUUGAAAGUCUGCCGUAUGCCACUUCACUUCUGUGAAAACCUAUGUUCUCGUUUUUGCUAAUUGAAAGAAAUCCGAAGAUUUUAGCUUUAAUGAAGAAAGGUGAAAAGCAAAAAUAGCAUUCAGCAUUUGUUUUGCAGCAAGCUGUUAAAGGAGCAGCGCGCACCCCAGGUGGCCAGAGUGGCCCCGUCAAGCUGCUUCCCAUGACCGGCUCCUGGUAUCUCAGCAUCAGGCUGCCAGAGCUCUGAACUGUGUGUGUGAGCAUCUGUGACUUAUCAUGGUUGGUUUUGUGCAUUUGUUAGCAAGAUGUCUCCUAAGGUACCAGAAAAGCCUGAGAGAGAUGAUUUUUUGGAUCCAGGAAUACUCAAAAAUUAAUGGUAAUAAAUUUAAUGGUAAUUGCUUUCAUAUAAAUCUGGUAAUUGCUGCUUUAUACAUUUUGGCUUACAAAAGGUUUCAUAGGAAUGCUCUACUUUUGGAUAGCGGGGGAAACCUGUAAUUGGUGACAUAUUGCUUUAACUCAGGGGACCCGUGUGCUAAAAUCCUGGUUGAGAAGCGAUCGGAAGAUAGUUUGUGGGCAGGUUGUUUCUGAUUCUAGGAAUUCUUGGACUCACCAGCUUUCUCUUAUAAUUAUGGUUUCUUAAUCUUCAAUUUAUUUUCAAAAAUGUCUAUUACGUUAGAAGGGAAAUACUUAGAUGGGAGUUAAGCCCCCUCCCUAGACUCUACCCUGAUCAUAAUUGGGGUCAACUAAAUAUUUUUGAAUGCUGAAGGGCUGGUGCUGUUGCCUUCACAUGAAAUCCAUAUACCCUAUUCAUUUUUCCACCUUCUUUAAAAAGAGCUUUUGGGAAGGCCAUUCUCUCACCAUCUCACUCUGAUUCUGGUCCUCUUGGUUUUCAUAGCCAUGUGUAUUAUUUCUAUCAAGGCACUUAGGACACCGCAUUAUCAUUACUGACUUUCGUGUUUUUAUCCUCAGUUGCAGAUACUAAAUCUUAUUCAACUUUGCCUGCCUCCCCGACACCCAGCACAGCUCAGAAAAUGGCUGGAUGGGAUGGCUGCUAGUGCCAAGCUGUGUGUGCAUCAGGAUAUGGGAAAUACUUUCUGCCCUUUAACUCAGGGUCCAAUGGAGGAAGAUUUAUAAACAGAAAAAUGUGCUAAUAUGAGGUAGGGACAGAAAUCAUGGAUCUGAACAACUGACCUCUGGGAGAACCAGGGCUCCCCUCACUACGGAGGUGACACUGGAACUAGAUCUAGAGAAAACAGAUGUGCAAGUAUGUUUACGUGUAUUACAAACAUUUCAUAGUUUGCCAUGUCUUCCAUGAUGCUCUGCCUUCCUUGGUCCUCCUCAGAAGGAAAUAAGCGUUCUUCCAAUCCUCAGGACACUUCAUCUGAGCCCCGUUAUUAUCAAUCUGCUUUCUGCUGUGUGGCAGUCAUUUGCAUUCAUGCCUCAUCUCUCCUUCUGGAGGCUGGGCCCAUGCCUGCUGUAGCUUCCUAGCCUCCCAUGUGCUCGGCACACAGGAAGCGCUUGCAAAACCAAGCCUGAGGUUCUCCACAUGACCCUGUGAACCACUCGCUUUGCCACUGCAGCUGCUACUGGCCUCAGAAGUUAAUGAUGGUACAGGCACCCUCUUCUCUAAUUACACUGGUACAAGACAUAUUAGAAUAAACUGUGAUCUCUCCUUUUCACAUACCUUCCAAUGUUCUCUCCCUUUCCAGAAGCAAUCACUGUUAACUAUUACAGAAUCCUACAGACUUUUUCCACAUACUUUUUUUUUUUUUUUUAACUAGGAUGGCCCUGUCUUCUAUGAUGUCAGCAGAACUGGUUUCAUAUGAAGGUGAGCUGAUCCGAGGUACAACGUCUGAGACAAUUGUGCCUUUUUCUCUGUAUCCCAGGAGACCACUCUCAGGGGGAGAUUACUGUUUAUUCCUGCAAAUGUACUUUGUUUCUCCUGAGAAACCAAGGUUUAUUUUCUUGGUUCUUUAGUCUCUAGAUGAGGCAUGACAUGUGACUUCAGGGCCUUUGGGAGCUGGGCUAUUCCAGGAUCUGAUAUCUGCAGCAUUUAGAUGUCCUGCUUUGUGAUCUUUUGAUAGGUCUAUUUUUGGUGAGAAGUUCUCUGGAACUAGGUUAUUAUAAGGAGGAAAGGGGUCGGAGUCAACAAAAUACCCAGGCUGGGUAGGUUUAGGGAAGACCAAAAUGAUUCUGGGUUUCAAACUAAUUCCCCUUGUUUCAGGACCAAAAUUGUGUUCCAGGAUGUGGCAGUCACUAUUCUCUGGCUAAACCAACAGACGUUGGCAACCCCUAAUUCUCUUUUUCCCAAAUUUUCCUUUCUUGAGCUCAAGUGUGACAUCUUGAGCUGAAGCAACUAUUGUGCCAUUGAAGCAACAGUUGAUAGACUUAAGUAUGACAGCAGUAAGAAAGGAGGAGCCUUGAUUUUGCUGACAUCACGGGGCACUGCAUGAGCCCUGGACCUGCCUACCUUCCAACUUUCUGCUCAAAGAAAAAUAAUUGCUUAGGUAUUGUUACUCAGGUUUUUGUUACAGAUAUUUAAGAACAAUUCAGACUGAUAUAGGUGUAACCAUCCAUUUCCCCAAAGCCACCCAUUUUCCCAGAAGAGCAGCUCAAGGUCACCGGAAGCCACCAACAUGGAUCACUGACCAUCCAGUCUCCUUGCACUUGGUUUAUUGAUUGUCAGUCAACUCAAUACAGUGGCAGUGUAAGCAGCGGGUUUACAUCUGCUUUGCUCACCCCUUCAUUGUCUUUUUUUUUUCCUCUAAUUGGGAGUCCCAUGGAGCGACUAACUUCCCAACAACUGCUAACAGAUACGCUUAGUGAAAAUAUCAGUAGCCAUAAUUCAGCCCCUAUCGCAGAGACCAUUCAGUGCUAUCCACACUUCCUGUCAACAAAACUUUGCUAGGGGAAGCAGGUGCCAUUUUUAAAUUAUUGCUUGGUAAAACAACCAAUGAGAAUGGCUCAGGUGAAUUAGGCAAUCUCUUUUUACAGUGCUCUAGCUCCCAAAUUAUGAUUUUGGUUUGUAUUUUCAGAAAUGAAAUUAAGUCUGAUCCUUUGGAGCCAAGUAGCUUUCUAGAUAGAGACCCUGCUGCCCAAAUAGGCCCCCCAAAACACCAUGUCCGCUCUCACCUGCCUUGAGUUCUGCCCUCUGACCAGUACAGGAGAUAUGACUCUGAGACUCAUUGGCUGUCCCCACCAGGGAAGUCUGUGCAGACACUUCCCUAAUAGUGUAUUUGCAAUGAUUAUGUACAGUUUGGAGCUUUGCUUUGCCUUCGCCCUCAAUGUUAGCUGGAAAUCCAUAUUUUCUCACUCCAAACUAUUCCCCAGAAAAAAACCUAUUUUCUCAAAGAGUUAAAGAAAGAAUAUGUAAUGAAGCCCUAUAGAAAUACAUACCUCUUGCUUGUUAACGUUCCAGAUUCUGAAAUUGAUUUCCCUCUCAACUCUGUGUAGCACAAUGCAGAGGAGAUGUAGAGAAAGAAGUCUGGCACUGUUUAUACCUACUUGUUAACAGUGGUUGCCCUUCCCCUCUUUUGUUUCUACCUCCCUUACUCCCUGCCUUUUCUCCCUUUUCUGCCUUUUCCUUCAAUUACCAUUUUUUUGUUAACAUAAACCUAGUUUGUCAUUGUCUGAAGUCAGGAGUAAAGGCCAAAUAUUAAAAAUUCUGAAUGAGAAAUUACUUGUAAUGUGAGCCCCAUCCUGUGUAUUAACUUCAGCCAUUUGUCUACAUUUGGCAAAUCUCUGGGACCUCAAAUUCUAGGGAAAUGUUUCUAAUAAUGCUAAUAUUUUACAAUUUGUGAACUAGAGGUGUUUGUUUGUUUGUUUGUUUGUUUUUAAGAUUUAAUGUACUGUUGGAAGAUGGGGGGAUGUUCCUCCACCACUUUUGAUGUUUCUUCCUUGUGGAUGAAAUGUAAUUAGUAUAACUUCUGACCUCCCUUUUUAUUAGGUCUUCCCCUGGGGAGUAAUUUAUUUGAUGGAUAAAUUUGAAAUGUAAACACCUAGGCAUGUUCUGCUCAGCUUCUCUUCUUCCUCUGGGGAGCUAGCAGCUCACAGGGGUUGCAGUUGUGCUCUGUCCUUCAGGGCAAGCUCUGUUCUGCUCCUGCCCAGGGAAGUCUCACAUGACCUGGGUAGGGUACAUCUGCCUAAUUCUGGAAUUCAUUUAACUAAACUAUACCCUCAAAUCUAGUUUUAUCAGCAAUAAAGUUAGUAUUUUAAUUCUCCAUGUUCCACUCUUUUGUUGUAUUGCUUACAUAUAUAUAACCCACGUGGGAAAGAGAAGUGCUUUACUGGGACUGUCAGAAACUCACAAUACACAUCCCAUUAGACUGCUGUUGACUAGAUGUCUCAUUAGCCAUCUUCAAUAUACAUGAGUCAAAUGCAAGACUAUCUGAAUUCUUAAAUUUGAAAUAUUUCAGAAGAGGAUUUUUUGGACAGAUCCAACAGACAAAAUCAGUAAGGAUAUGCUAAACUCAUCACCAUCAAUGAACUGGAUAUAAUUGGUAUCUACAGAUUACUUCAUCUAACAAGACACAUUAUUCAUUCACCAAAGUAGACUACGUUCUUGGCCACAAAGUAGAGCUUAAUAAAUUUAAAAGAAUAGAAAUGACACUAUGUCUGCUCUCAAAUCACAAUGGAAUUAAGUAUCCAUAACAGAAAGAUAACUGGAAAAUCCCCAAAUUUGUGAAGAUUUUAAACAACACAGUUCUAAAUAACGCGUGGGUCAAAUAAGAAAUCUCAAGAGAAAUUUAAAAAUACUUAGAACUAAAUGAAAAUGAAAACAUAACUUAUUGGGGUGCCUGGGUGGCUCAGUUUGUUAAGUGACUGACUUUGUUUCAGCUUGGGUCACGAACUCAUGGUUCAUGAGUUUGAGUCAUGCAUUGGGCUCCACAGCUGGCAGUGUGGAGCUUGCUUGGGAUUCUCCCUCUUUUCCUCUCUGCCCCUCCCCAGCUCGUGCUGUCUCUGUCUCUCUCAAGAUAAAUAAACUUAAAAAAAAAAAAAAAGACAACUUAGCAAAAUUGGUGGUGAAAGCAGUGCAUAGAGGGAACUUUAUAACAGUGCAUACAUUAGAAAAGAAGAAAGCUAAAAUCAAUAAUUCAAGUUUCUACCUUAUGAAACUAGAAAAAGAGUGAAUUAAAUCCAAAGUAAGCAGAAGAAAGAAUUAGAGCAGAAAUCAGUGAUAUUGAAAACAGAAUUUCAGUAGACAGAGUCAAGGAAACCAAAAGCUAGGUCUUUGCAAAGAUAAAGAAAAUUAAUAAACCUAUAUAAAGCCAGGCUAAAAAAAAAGAGGACACAAAUUAGAAAUGAAAUAUCAGAAAUGAAAAAGGGACAUCAUCAUUACAAACCCCAAAGGAUAAAGGAAUAUGAGUAAUAGCUCUAUACCCCCAAAUUUAAUAACCUAGAUGAAAUGGACCAACUCCUUGGAAAACACAAUUUGCCAAAAUUCACGCAGGAAGAAACAGAUGAUCUGAAUAGGCCUAUCUCUAUUAAAUAAAUCAAAUCAGUAAUUAAUAACCUUCUAAAAUACAAAGCACCAAGCCAGGUGGGUUCACUGGUGAGUUCUACCAAACAUUUAAGAAAUUAUACCAAUUUUCUACAAUUUCAGAAGACAGAAGCAGAAGGAAUGCUUCCUAACCCAUUCUAUGGGGCUGGCAAUACCCUAAUACCAAAACCAAAGCCAUUACAAGAAAAGUAAACUAGACCAGUUGUUCCCAUUACCAUAGACACAAAAAUCCUCAUUACAAAUCCGGAUUAGUAAAUAAAAUCCGACAGUGCAUGAGAAGUAAGAUUUAUCACCAGAUACGCAAGGUUGGUUCAACAUUUAAAAAUCAAUGUAAUGCAUUACAUCAACAAACUAAAAAUGAAAAAUCACAUAAAUAUAUCAAUAGAUGCAGAAAAAACAGACAAAAUUCAUCAUCUAUUCAUGAUAAAAGCAUUCAGUAAACUAGGAAUAGAGGGGAACUUCCUCAACUUGAUCAAGACUGUCUCCAAAACCCUAGCGCUAACAUCAUCCUUAAUGGUGAGAAACUCCAAAUUUUCCCACUAAGAUCAGGUACAAAGCAAGAAUUUCCCAUUUCACCACCACUUUUCAAAAUUGUACAGAAAGUCCAUGCUAAUGUAAUAAUGCAAGGAAAGGAAAUUAAAGCUAUACAGAUUGGGAAAGAAGAAAUAAAUCUGUCGUUCUUCACAUUUGAGAUGAAUAGACAAAUUCCUGGAACCAACAGGCAAUUAUAGCAAGGUUAAAGGAUACAAGGUUAAUAUAAAAAAAAAAAAUCAGUUGCUUUCCUUUAUAUCAGCAAUGAACAGGUGGAAUUUGAAAUUAAAAACAUAGUACCACUUACAUUAGCACCCCCCCAAAAUGAAAUACUUAGGUAUAAAUCUAACAAAAUAUGUAUAAGAUCUAUAUGAAGAAAAUUAUAGAAGUGAUAAAUAAAAUUUAAGAAGUAAAUGGAGAGAUAGUCUAUAUUCAUGGAUAGAAAGACUCAGUAUUGUCAAGAUGUCAGUUCUUCCCAGUUUGACCUAUAGAUUUAAUGCAAUCCCAAUCAAAAUCCCAGCAAGUUAUUUGGUGGAUAUCAAGCACCUGAUUCUAAAGUUUAUAUGGAGAGGCAAAAGAGCCAGAAUAGCCAACACAUUAUUGAAGAACAAAGUUGAAGAACUGACCUGACCUGACUUCAUCACUUACUACAAAGCUACAGAAAUCAAGAAAGUAUUGUCUUUUCUUGGUGAAAGAAGGGACAAAUAGAUCAAUGGAACAAAAUAGCCCAGAAAUAGACCUAAAAAAAUACUGUCAACUGAUCUCUUACAAAGGAGCACUGGCCAUACCAUGAAGCAAAAGUAGUCUUUUGAACACAUGGUGCUGGAACAACUGGCCAUCCACAUGCAAAAGAUGAAUCUAGACACAGACCUUACACCUUUCACAAAAAUUAACUCAAAAUAGAUGACAGACCUACGUGGAAAAUGCAAAUCUAUAAAAAUCUUAGAAAAUAAUACAGGAGAAAACCUAGAUGGCCUUGGGUAUGGUGAUGACUCUUCAGAUGCAACAUUAAAGGCACAAUCCAUGAAUGAAAUAAUUGAUAAGCUGGACUUCACGAAAACCAAAAACUCAAUCUCUGUGAAAGACACUGUGAAGGGAAUGAGAAGACAAGUCACAGAGUGGAAUACAAUAUUUGCAAGAGACAUCUGAUAAAGGACUAUGAUCCAAAAUAUACAAACAACUCUUAAAAUCCAACAAUAAGAAAACAAACAACCUGAUUAAAAAAUGUGCCAAAGAGGGCCCUUGGCUGGCUUGGUUGGAGAGUGUGUGACUCUUGAUCUCAUGUUGGGUGUGGAGCCUGCUUAAAAAUACAUAAAUUAAUAAAGGGCGAAAGACCUUGACAUCUCACCAAAGAAGAUACACGUAGAUAGCAGGUAAGCAUAUGAAAAGGUAUUCCACAUCCCAUGUUAUCAGGGAAAUUCAAAUGAAAAUAACUAUGAAACACCACUACAAACCUAUUAACAUGGCCAAAAUCUGGAAUACGGACAACACCAAAUUCUGGAGAGGAUGCAGACCAACAGAAAUUCUCAUUCAUUGCUGGUUAUUAUGCAAAGUGACACAGUCACUUUGGAAGACAGUUUGGCAGUUUCUCACAAAGCUAAACAUACUCCAGGAUCCAGCAAUUGCACUCCUUGGUAUUUACCUAAAGGAGUUGGAAACUUAUGAACACACAAAAACCAGUGCAUGGAUGUUUCUAGAAGCUUUAUUCAUAAUUGCUAAAACUUGGAAGUAAUGAAAAUGUACUUCAGUAGGUGAAUGAAUAAAUAAACUGUAGUAUCAGACAAUGGAAUAUUCAGUGCUAAAAAGAGGGUUUUGCUUUUUGUAAGAUUGAACAGACAUCACUGGGAUUGUAUACAGAAAGCUCAGAAAACAUUAGAAUUAUCCUCUUAAAAAUAAGCUAUUGUCCCCUCCAAUAAUUUAACCAUUUUCCUGGUUGUAUGAUUUCUGCACUGUCAUCUGGAUUUAGGAAUCCCAGUAGUCAGUAAAUUACACAGUGCCCAUUUUCAGUCUGUUGUUUAUGCCAGACAUGCCCUAACAGUCCUUGGUGUGAGCAGUAACGUGACUUAGCAAAAGGAAAUUUGAGUUGGUAUCUAUCUCCUUUGAGCUUCCAUAGCUGUUGGACCUUCUUUUAUAAGAUGCUGUGUUUUCUUUUUGUUUUUGUUUGUUUGUUUGUUUGUUUGUUUAACCACAUGAUAUGGUCAUUUCUGGUUUUAACUUGUCGUCUUUGAUGGCAACUUCUUUUGGCAACUCUUGGCCAGUUGUAUGUCCUUUGUAUUCCCAAACUGUGUAAUAUUUCUCAAAUUUCAAUAAUUAUGUUGAAGAACAGAAGAGAAAGUGGGCAAAGAACACAGAAGGAAAGCUAGGAGGGAGAGUGGAAGGAAAGAAGGUAAAUAUGUAGAUGAGAGCGAGGGCAUUAGGGUCACGUGGCCAUAGACAAGAAGGCAACUACAUAGGAAGGGAACGUAUGUUGUGCCAAUAAUUCAGGCUGUGCAGUGACUCUAGCAGCCAUGGUAGAUGUUUCCUGUCAUGGUCCAUACGGAGAGCUGCAGCAGCAGGACCAGAGGUCCGUGCUCAUCCAAACUCCACAAGUAGACACUCCUGUUGCAAAGCUCAGAAAUCUACGCGAGAAAGUUAUUAGAGGGAUGUAGGGAUAUUGGGACUCAGGAAACCUAAAGGAAUGAAAUGUGGUUUAUAUGCAAAAAGACCUGAAACUAGGCACUGAACAGUGAGCAGGGGCCAAGUCAGAAACACAUUCACACAAGUCUUCUCUGGAACCCCAUGGUUUCUUGUCUCCUCUCCCUGUGUGUCUGCUUUGUUAUUAUUUUUUUCUUUCUACAGACUGAUUUCUUCAGUUUUUCCUUCUUGUGCCUAACUCAUAACAGUCAUCUCCAAGUGCCUGCCUCAGCCCUUUACUUGACCUGACCUUGAACUUAACAGAAGUUAGCUUAUGAAGUCUCUCUGUGUCCCAACCUCAAACUCUCUGGAGAUGGAAUUUCACGUGCCUCUCUCCCAGGCGCCCUGGAUUCUGUCAGUCUGUGGUACUCACCCACAGCGUCACCCGGCAGGAGGGAAGGACAGGGUCACAGCUGCUUUCAUCUGAAGCCGUGGCAGGGGCGGAUUCUUGCAUAGAAAUGAGAAGGCAAUUAUUGCAUCUUUAGUAUACUGCGUACCCCUAGAAAUAUGAUCAAGGUGGAGGAUCCCCCAACCUAGGAUGAAAUUUCAUCUUAGGUCAGAACUGAUUUGGGCUUAAACUUAAUGAAGUUUGAGUGAAAGUUGUCUUCCUGUCAAAAUGGUACAGCUUUUCCAGAUUUUGUUCUAGGCAAAAUAAGAUUGUUAAAGGAUUUUUUCUGAGGACCUCUGCUUCUAGAAAGAUGGAGCGGACAUGCUUUUCUAUUCCACCCACUGAGUAUAACUAAAAACUUUGAACAUUAUAUAAAACAGAUCUACCAAAAAAGGUGGCGAGAGGAAGGCAAACCAGCUAGGGACCUUGGGAUUCGAAAACAACACUGGGGUGAAUUCCUUGAGCUUUCCUUUGCCUUGUAUAUCCCAGACAUGGAGCCAAAGAGGCCAGCAACUGGAAACACCAAAGGCCACAGACACAAAAAGUGCCCAGCAAAACCGUGGUCUCUCUACCCACAGGACCAGAGAAGGGGCAACCUAACAGGACAGAAAACUUUUGGACAACAGCUACUCUACAGCAACCAACACCACAGAAACAAAUUGUGUCUCCUCCAACCUUGACCAACAAAGCGUGGCGUCCAGACUUCAACGCUCACCAGGUGGUCACGAAGCAUUCCACCCUCCACCGGGAGUCAGGACUUUGGUCCUCCAGUGGUAAUAGGACCACCCCAGUGUCACCAUGUGGGGAGCUGGAACACCCUUCCUGCCAGAGAAAGCCAGCUAAAACAGGUUUCAAGAAGAUCCAGAGUCUCAUAACACAAUAUGGAAUGUCCAGGUUUCAUUAGAAAAUCAUGCAUCACAAAAAGGGUUUCAAUGGUACAGUUACUAAAAUCUAAACCAGGAAAUAAAGGCCAAGAAAUGCUCAUGUGACUGUUAAAGUAUUUAAUCUUUUUUAAGAAAAUGUUUAUUUAUUUUGAGAGAGAGAGAGUGAGCAGGGGAAGGGCAGAAAGAGAGGGAGACUGGAUCUGAAGUAGGCUCAGUGCUGACAGCAGAGAGCCCCAUGCAGGGCUUGAACUCGCCAACCAUGAGAUCAUGACCUAAGCUGAAGUCAGUUGCUUAACCCACUGAGCCACCCAGGUGUCCCUAAAGUAUUUAAUCUGACAAGUAACUUAAAUUUUUUUUUUAAUGUUUUUAUUUAUUUUUGAGACCGAGUGAGACAGAGCAUGAGCAGGGGAGGGGCAGAGAGAGAGGGAGACACAGAAUUGGAAGCAGGCUCCAGGCCCUGAGCUAUCAGCACAGAGCCUGAUGUGGGGCUUGAACCCACAGACUGUGAGAUCAUGACCAGAACUGAAGUCGGAUGCCCAACCGACUGAGCCACCCAGGCGCCCUAAUCUUACAACUUAGACUGGAGAGAAAUCCAAGUAAUUUCAGUCCUCAGUUGUUUAUUUCAACAUAUUUCAAGAAUGCUAACAGGUAGAAGCAGAUAAAGACUUAUAACUGAGUUUAGGCCCUGAGCUUAUGCUGUGCUGCAUAUAUGAAAUAUAGAGCCCUUGGGAGGAGAGUUUGAAAGGAGAAUAGAAUGGAAGGAACAAGAUUAUCUAGAGAACCAUGAGGAUCUUGAGUUACAAGAUCAAAGCAUCAAGAUGUACGAUGGGAUCUAUACACUAGGGAAUUUUUCUGGAAAUAUCUGGAAAAUAAAGCUAGUAAGAUUCUUGGAGGGAGGAGUAUGGUUUUGCUUUUACUGGAGAGGUAUUUUAUAUUUUUCUAAGUAAGUAGAUAGCCUAUUUAGUUGCCCAUGUCAGUAAAAGUUAAAAAUGCUUUAAAAAAUCUUAAAAAUUUCCAUUGCUCCUGUAUAUUGUCAUUGCUGAUCAGUCCACAGAUUUCUGGAUGAAUUUGGAACAUUUUUCAAAAAGCGAAAAGGAUAUCAUUCUUAAGUGAAGAAAAAUACUGCCAAUUCUUUAAAUAAUUUAUUUUGUACCACUCCCAUCCCCCAGGUCUGGCACGCUUAGCUCUCACAUAUCUGUAAUGGGGGUAUGAGGGAUGAAUGAGCUGUUUAAUUGUGUAACCAAGUUUGCCUUCUUUUAAUGUCUGAGAAGAAGGGGAAGAGAAAGAUCAGAUGUGUUGACUUAAGGAUCAUCACAAUUACUUACCAAUGGCAUGUAUGCACCUGUUGGGUACUACAGAACUUCUCAAACCUUGGAAUCAGAUUAGACACCACCACCCUUGUUUCCUGUUCUAAAUUGAUGUUUCCAAGUCAUGCUUGCUUAUUCUUUAUCACAGCAAUCGCUGACAACUCAGCUUCACAAGGUAUGGUGUUAUGGAAACAAAUAUAGUGUGAUCUCAUGUUAACGUUGUGAAACUAAUUCGAAUGAGCUGUUUGUCCAUUGUCCGAUAAAUGGUGCUGUAUUUCUCUCAAAAAUGUUAACAGCCUGGGGGCUCCCAUUGUGACUUGGCUGCUGUAAUUCUGUCAAUUUUUUGUUUGUAUACAUUUUGAAGCUAGGUCACUGGGCAUCUAGUAUUAUAAUUGUUAAGCUUCUCAUAGUGGGUUGGAUGCUUUUAUCAUUCAGGACAAUCUGUCUCUCAAAAUGCUUCUUGCCUACAUUGUUUGAUAAGAGGAUUUCUGAAAACGUGUCUUUCUGUUUCAGCGAAACUGUUCUUGACAGCAUUUGAAACCUGUUCUAGAGAAUAUUUAUAUGUGCUUCCUGAUGAGAAAAUAGUAGGGCUGCUUGAAAGUGAAAUUAAGAUUCCGGAGUACUCUUUUCUGGCUUAUUCCUGUUGAUGCUGUAAAUGUUAUUUAAAAUAAUUCACACCGAAUUUUAGAGAGCCCUAAGCGGCCCACACACCCUUUUGCACAGGUCUGCUCUUUGGAGUCCCGCUCUGUCCCAGGGAGUCUGCCCACUGGAGGAAACCUCUCAUCCCGGCCAGCACCAUGACUUUUCAUUUUGCCUCCCUUCCCUUUUCCCUUGGAGACCUGUAAGUGUACUCUUUAGGUCGAAGGGAAGAAACUAUGAAUGUCUUACUCACAGUUUUACUUAUAAAAUUUAAAAGUCCGCAGAGUGAACUGUGAGCUGCCCAUUUCCCAUCGGACAUGUAAAGGGCUUGCGUGUCCCUCUUGUCCUUAUAACAAGAAAAAGCUGAACAAACUGAAAAUCAAGACCUGCACUUAGAUUUCUCAGAGGAUGCAGGUCACAAGGCCAGACAUUGCCUCAAGUAUUGAAGAGAUAGGUGAACACAGAGAAUUACAGUUUAAUGGGAGCAGAAGGCAGUCCCAGGGUAGAAAAACUUACACUGAUGAAUUUCUGGAGGCUUAGUGCAGAUGAGCUAGAGAGUUAAAAUCUCUAGGAGGCUCAGUUUUAGGAGUCUGCCAUGCUUUUGUUAGAUUUACCUCCCAGUGCCCCACCAAGUUCUCAAGGUGAAAAUCAGAGAAAAAUCUGGUGCGUCUGGUGGCAGGAAGGGGUAAAGUCUCUUUGAAAUCUGCCCAGAGCGUUCUGUUCUUUUGAACAAAAUCCUGCCUGCUGGAGACAUUAUUUAUCAGAGGCUCCCUGACUUAGGGGCAGGGAAACACCCAACUAUACCUCCCUCUAGCCUUCCAUGUGGGAGAAGAAAACACCCAACUACUGCCCCCUCUAGCCUUCCUGUUUCAUCUGAAGUUGAGGAGCAUGUUUGAAGAUCACAUCCCAGGGGCACAGGCUCACUAAAAGGUUGAGACCUGGUCACAGGACUAAUAGAAUACUUCCCCUCUCCCCACCUGUUACUACCACAUGGCCUGUGCCUCUGUAUAAUAACUAGGUAUUGCAACAGAAGGGACUGUCUGCCUCAGAUCCUAUGUAAGAAGGAGUGUCUAGGGAAACCCACAGACAACAGGGGAGACAAAAAACAAUGAAGGUAGAAGGAAUUUUAGCCUCUGACACCUGCAGCCACAAGAGUAAACACAAUCUGACUUCUAUACAGACAAACAUGAAACCUCGCACUGACAGCCCACUUAACUGUGAGUUGCCUUGACCCAGGAUCUGAUCACGCAACCUCAGAUGAAAGUAGGAGGACUUACCCUUCUCAGAGAGUCAAAGGAACUCUGUUCUCUAAAUAAAAAUAUUGCAGUAUUUGCAAGUUCCUAACUGGCCACUUGACAAUAUUCUCUUUAUUUUGCAAAUAGUUUUUUUUUUUUUAGGAUUUACAUAUUGAAUACUAUGCAGGAAUAUUUAUAACCUGCAAUGCAUAAAGAACAACAGUAACUAGAACACGUGAACACCUGUCUCCUGCCACCAGGCCUGUGAAUAGGAUAAUCCUAGGGCUCUUCAAGGCCUAGUGGAUACUCCUGGACCCUAGCCUUCUACCUGUACCACAAGGGAAAUUCUUCUGAACUUUGUAUUUGUCAUCCUCUUGCUUUUCUUUAUAGCUUUUCUGUAACUUUAAACUUUUAUUCAUUUUUUGAGAGAGAGAGAGAGACAGAGACAGAGACAGAGAAUUUGUGGCAGAGGGGCAGAGAGAGAGGGAGACACAGAAUCUGAAGCAGGCUCCAGGCUCCGACCUGUCAGCACAGAGCCCGACCUGAGGCUUGAACCCAUGAACCACGAGAUCAUGACCUGAGCCGAAGUCGGACGCUUAACUGACUGAGUCACCCAGGGGCCCCAACUUUUCUACAACUUUAUAACCAAGAGAUGUUUUUUAGUUUUGCACAGUUUUGAACAUUAUAUAAAUGCAACCAUCCUAGGUGGAUUCUUCUGCAGAUGUUUUAUCAAUGCUGAGAUUCAUCCAUAACAAUACAUGUGGUUGUAGUUCAUCUCUUGAUUUUCUUGGCACUAGUUUCUCUUUUGUUAAGGUGUAUUAUUGUUCUGUAGUUUGGGUUGAGUCAUUAAGGACCUAUGUCAGCCUGUUAUUAUUGUACACUUUCAUGUAUGUUAUAUAUAUAUUUAUUUUAUGUAUAUUGUCCACUGGUCAUAAGUAUUUUCCCUUUUUACUCCCUCCCAUUCACUCCCAUUAACACAUGGGGCUUGGGCCCAAUAGUCUCUCAUGGGCUCCCUUUCUUCCUCUGUGACUACAACAUUCAGAGGCAGGAAAAGAGAGAGGCUCCCCCCAGGUGUGUUUUAAAACCUCUCCAGAAGCCCCUCAGAGCCUUCCCUCACAUCUUUUUGCCAUUCCUAACCCAUUCACUGGCAAGAGCAAUAUAAUUAUGAUGGCCGAGGCUAACAAGAUGGAGGAACAGCCAGCUUCCUUGAAGCGUACCACCUCCCCAAAUGCAGACUGAGGUAACACUCUCUCAGACAGAAGUGAACAAGGGGAAAGAGAGCACUUGCCACACAACCCUGCCGCCUCACAGGGUGACAGUGGAGAUGAAAUGAUGGGAGACAAGCAAAAGAUGAACAAAUGAUGUAAGAAAAACCAAAAAAUAUAAGAUGCCAUUAGAUUGAGAAACUUAAAGCAUAAAAUAUGUUAUUUCCUAAGAAACUACUAUCUUCGCAGUUUUCAAGAAUAUGAACAAAAUAAAAAAUAGUAUUUUUAUAGGUGUGUUCUGAAAAACCAGUAUUUGAGAUGUGCCUUAUUUCAACAACUACCAUCCAGGGCACAGUGGAAUCCAGGGUCUAUGAGAUGAAAGACCCUCUAAGUUCUGGGGUCUUACUCUUGUAAUAGAGGGUUGCUGGCAUUCUGUUAGAUUUGUAAACUGAGAUGGUAGACUAAAUUUCCUAUUCUUCUUGGGACGCCUGUGUGGCUCAAUUAGUUAAGCGUCCAACUUCAGCUCAGGUCACGAUCUCACAGUUUGUGAGUUCGAGCCCCGUGUCGGGCUCUGUGCUGAUAGCUCAGAGCCUGGAGCCUGCUUCGGAUUCUGUCUCCCUCUCUCUCUAUCUCUCCCUCCCGUGCUUAUGCUAUGUCUCUCUCUCUCUCUCAAAAAGAAAGAAACAUUAAAAUUAAAAAAAAUAAAUUUCCUGUUCUUCUUUGUGACUUAGGAAAAAUAAAACUUAAGAAGGAAUUUAAUAAGAUACUUGAGGCUUAGGUUUUUAUAAAGGAGUAUCUUUCCUAUAAACAUUGCCACAUUAUUUUAAAAAUCAUCUUUGAAUUUAGAUUUUAACUUUUUUUUUUUUUGUCUAAUAUUGUCUUGAAUGAGAACAUGGUUGACAAGACUCAUCCAUUUGAAGUUUUCUAGGAGAGAUUACAUUGGCUAAAUAAUUUGAAGAAAUUAAAGGCUUUAUAUUAGAUAUAGUAAUUCUAUAAUUAUUAAUUGAUAACCAAAAGAUCAUUAUAUUAAGUAUAAUAAGCUUUCUAAAUAUUUAUAUUGUCUUCUAUCUCUUAAGUUAGAACUUUGGUAGCAAGAUAUGGUUUAAAUAUUUGAUUUGUGUUACAUAUAAAGAUAGAAGUUAUGUCUACUGAAAGUGACUUUAUAUUGUGGAAAAAGACAUUUUUGACACAUUUCUUUUACAGUUUACUUAGAUCUGAGCUUUUGGGCUUGAGAGCAUUAUGGCCAGUUUUAUAAAUCUACAAGGCAUUUUGAUGCAAGAGUAAAGAAUGGAAAUAAUAUAAAUAAAUUUAUAAUAGAGUUUUAUAAAAGCGGUAGCUGGGAAUGAGGCAUUGUGGUAAAACUGAGCAAAAUUACACACCUUGUCCACAUGCUGUGUCCAUUUAAAAUUGGAGAUCAUAAAGAGAAGUAAAUCUUUUCUUCUGUUAGGUCCAUAAGUUGUUGUUUUGCUUUUUUAUUUAACUUUUUUAAUUAAAAAUUUUUUUCGAAUGUUUAUUUCUUUUUGCGAGAGAGAUGGAGUGCAAAUGGGGGAGAGGUAGAGGGAGAGGGAGACACAGAGUCCAAAGCAGGCUCCAGGCUCUGAGCUCAAAGCCUGCUCUGAGCUCAAAGUCAGCACAAAGCCUGAUGUGGGGCUUGAACCCAAGAGCCGCAAGCUCAUGACCUGAGCUGAAGUCAUACGCUCAACCAACUGAGCCACCCAGGCGCCCCUGUUUUCCUUCCUUCCUUUCCCUUCCUUCCUUCCUCCCUCCCUUCCUUUUUCUUUCUUUCUCUUUCUUUCUUUCAAGUGAAGAGAGGAGGUAGAGAAAAAGAAUUACAGAGAAAAGAUCCUGAGCAAUGGUAAGAAGGGGAGAGAAAACAAUAAAUGUCAAAACUCAAGGAAUUUUGUGUGGUGAGCACAAAGUCAAGGGUAGUGUGUAAUGGGAGAAGAGCCUAGAGACUCAAGCAGGGGCCGAUGAUGAAGUCCUAGUGGGAGAUGAGGGAGACAGAAUAGCUCCCCAGGAGAGGGGAGAGGGGAGAUUCCUGCUGGAUCAUUUCCUCGUGGGACAAUGGGUGACAGAGUUAAGAUUCCAGGUGGUGGCAUCUCUGGGCUGUAGCUGCAGGCCAACUUGCAGAGGCUGAGCAGGUGCCUUUAAUCUUCUCAUUUACAGAGCACAGUUUUCCAAAUUAUAGGACACUUACAUAGGGUAAUCAUCUUAAGUGGUGUGUGCAUGAACAUUUUUAAUCAUUGUGCUCUACAAAAAAGUAUCUCCAUAGUACAAUUGGGACCUUCUGAAUGUUAUUGCUCAUACAUAAAUUAAACAUUUUAAAUAAAACGAUUCGUGUUUUAAUUUAUUAUUUUUUAAAUGUUUCAUUUAUUUAUUUAUUUUGAGAGAGAGAAAGACUGAGCAGGGGAGGGGCAAAGAGAGAGGGAGAGAAAAUUGCAAGCAGGCUCCACACUGUCAACCCACUAACCCUGAGAUUAUGACCUGAGCAGAAACCAAGAGUCCCAUGGUUAACGGACUGAACAACCCUGGUGGCCCUGAACACUGAAACGUUCCUAAUGAGAAAAACUGUCCUCCAAAAUAAGGUGGACUUGGACAGUAUUACAUUAUGUCUGGCAAGGGGGAACCUAUGCCAUUAUCCAAACAGAAUAUUUUGUGUUCCUACAUACUAAUGCAUCAUCUUUAUUAAAUCACAUGAGGACACAAGUAAAUGUCCUGAGGGAUCCAAUUCCCAGCCUAGGGGACUUAAUAAAUCAGAGUUCAGAUCAUGAGGCUCUUAAUGGACAAAAUUAGUACUCACUUUGUGAAUCAUGGUCUUAAUCUGUGUUUUCUCUCGCAGAUACUAAAUUGUUACUGUGGCGUCUGCCUCCAGCGCAGCCAGUUAGCUACCAAAGGAGGCACCCCCGUGCCAAGAACGCCCCCUGAGGACCGCUCAGGACACACUUCCCGGGUGGGAGGGGCGUGUAAGAGUGGAAGCGCAGGCCCGGGGGCUGCAGUGUUGGAGGAGGAGGUCAUCCAGAGGACGUGACCGCUGGUUGACCCAGAGCUGGAUUGGUAAUCAGUAGUUCCCCACCCUUCCGCUCUCCGUGGAAUGUACCUUCCGCCCACCAGUUCCACGGCGGGGUCGCUUUUCGAGGGCACAGCCUUGAGGGCACAACGUGUUUAGACGUCUAGAUGGUAUACGUGGCUGAACCCCGUUAAGGCCUCUAUAAACGGUCUGGUCUUACGGCUGCUGAAGACAAGCCUCGGAAUCUCAAACUGUAUUUUGAGUAAAGCCAAGAAGCCACGGGAGUGAAAGAAUAACGUGUGGGCUCCAAAUGCAUUUCUAAGAUGUCAAGCUUGUUGACUGGAAGCCUGCCUGCCAGAACAAGAUCCUUCUGCGAACACCAGAAACAAUCUGCUAUUGUCUCCUGGGAUGAAACGGUGCCAAUAAAGAAUGAAAACUCUGAGCCAAGAGGAGGAAUACCGCAUUAACUGCUUCACCACUAAAAGUAAUUAUGGGAAGGGAGAGACGGGGUAAAACCCUCUCCUUUGUUUUUAGCUUGCAAGGACACACAGAGCACAGAUGUGACCAGAGCAAAGCCCGCCAUGUGUCUUGGCCCAGUGGAGAGAAUGGUCACUCUUGUGUGUGCACUGAUCAGGGUCAGAGCCCCUGCCUGCCUUCUGAGCACACUUGAUGCUGCCGGUGGAGAAAGCCGGGCACCCCCUUAGUUUCCUUUCUGCUUGGUUGUCUUGGUUCCAGAAGCUGUUACCACAGGGACAGGCCUGUGC